AAGACAAAACAAAAACAAAAUUUCUUCCGCCAUUUCAUUUUGCCCCAGAUCCAAAUCCAUCGCCUUCUUCCCAGAAAAUCUACCCUCCGUCGUCCGCCUUGUUCGCCGCCAGCCACCGCCUCAGCCUUAGCCACACUUGAAGUUAAAAAGUUAAAUAAGAAAACCCUAAUCUCUCGUUGCCUCUGGAUUCUGGAUACGCCAUUGCUGCCGACAAUGCUCCAGUGCUCCCCGCUGCCUCUCGGUGCAGAACGACGACGACGUAGAAGACCAAACGCCACCUCCCGCUCCCUAUCGUUGUCGCCGUCACGGACGUUGCAGAUCAGCCGAUAGUCCGACACCUACCGCUGCCUCCCUGUCCCUCUCGCUAUCGCCGCCAUCGAUGGAGUAGAUCAUCCGCCAAUUCGCCACCUACCACUAGUAUAUUAUGUAUCCUCUGGUAAUUCUUAUCUUUUUAAUUACAAGAAUAUAAAAACUGGAGGCUAAGGAGAAGCGCCUGAGAUAGAGAAAAGCCAAGAAAGAAUUCACGAUGAUGUUGGAAGAGUCCAAGGAACUUACAUCAUCAACAAGAUGGAUCAAGGCAGUAACAAUGUUUGAAGAUGAUGAACGGUUCAAGGCUGUUGAAAGAGAGGCAGAUCGUGAAGAUCUCUUUAGAAACUAUUUAGUUGAUCUUCAGAAAAAGGAAAACGCAAAUGCUCAAGAGGACUACCAAUAAUGAGGGAGAAAAUGGGGACACUCUUUGCAGAGAUUUUGAAGAAAGUAUACUUCAAGGAAGGUUUCUUCAAUGUUGAUCGUCAACUGGGAAUUUGAUACGCACUCCAAAUGGAAAGCUAGCUAUACUUGAUUUUGUUCCAACAAGUUGAUUAUGACAAAGCGGUUAUUGAUCUG